UACGUAGGGUGCAAGCGUUGUCCGGAAUUAUUGGGCGUAAAGAGCUUGUAGGCGGUUUGUCGCGUCUGCUGUGAAAGUCCAGGGCUCAACCCUGGGAUGCCGGUCGAUACUGGCGGACUAGAGUCCGGAAGAGGCGAGUGGAAUUCCCGGUGUAGCGGUGAAAUGCGCAGAUAUCGGGAGGAACACCAAUGGCGAAGGCAGCUCGCUGGGACGGUACUGACGCUGAGACGCGAAAGCGUGGGGAGCAAACAGG
rnacentral:rRNA from 1 species